UACGGGAGGCAGCAGUGGGGAAUAUUGCACAAUGGGCGCAAGCCUGAUGCAGCCAUGCCGCGUGUAUGAAGAAGGCCUUCGGGUUGUAAAGUACUUUCAGUCGUGAGGAAGGUGUUAAGGUUAAUAACCUUAGCAAUUGACGUCAGCGACAGAAGAAGCACCGGCUAACUCCGUGCCAGCAGCCGCGGUAAUACGGAGGGUGCGAGCGUUAAUCGGAAUUACUGGGCGUAAAGGGCACGCAGGCGGUUAAUUAAGUUGGAUGUGAAUCCCGGGCUUAACCUGGGAAUGGCAUUCAAGACUGGUUAGCUAGAGUCUUGUAGAGGGGGUAGAAUUCCAUGUGUAGCGGUGAAAUGCGUAGAGAUGUGGAGGAAUACCGGUGGCGAAGGCGGCCCCUGGGACAAAGACUGACGCUCAUGUGCGAAAGCGUGGGGAGCAAACAGGAUUAGAUACC
rnacentral:rRNA from 1 species